GAACUGGCCGACGAGCACCACCAGGAGUGAGGCUUGCCUUUUAAUUUGGCUCAACACGGUGAAACUUACCAGGUGCAGACACAGUAAGGAUUGACA
rnacentral:rRNA from 14 species